GAAAUAUGAAAAUCAUGAAUAAGCUUCUAACUUAAUUCUUUAGCGGUGAAAUCCGUUAAUAUUUCU
rnacentral:tRNA from 1 species